ensembl:lncRNA
CCUGGCUGGAGUUGGGGGGGAAAUAUCUAGUAUUAAAUCUAUAGAAAUCAUAGGUACAAAAUUAAAACGGGAAGACUCCGCAAUGACUCUCUAAUCCAAACUUUCUUUUUAAAAAGAAGGAGUUGCGGUCCAAAGAGGCCAAUUAGCAAGUCCCCUGUCACAUAGCUGGCAUCUACGGCUGCGAAGCAGAGAACCAGCCCGCAGCGCUAAGGAAGCAAUAGUAAUUGCGUUAUUGGAGCAUAAUGAAAAUCCUUCUUUGAGGGACAGUUGAUGCUAAUUGGAUUUGUCAAAUGUAUGUGUCAGUUCGAAUAUGAAUUCCUGAUGGCUGGCGUUGGGAUCCAUCUCUCUGACGGCCAUCAGGUAUCUUUGAAAGGCCUUUCACAACCCAGAGCUCCAG